rnacentral:rRNA from 1 species
GAUGAACGCUGGCGGCGUGCCUAAUACAUGCAAGUCGAGCGAACAGAUGAGGAGCUUGCUCCUCUGACGUUAGCGGCGGACGGGUGAGUAACACGUGGAUAACCUACCUAUAAGACUGGGAUAACUUCGGGAAACCGGAGCUAAUACCGGAUAAUAUAUUGAACCGCAUGGUUCAAUAGUGAAAGACGGUUUUGCUGUCACUUAUAGAUGGAUCCGCGCCGCAUUAGCUAGUUGGUAAGGUAACGGCUUACCAAGGCAACGAUGCGUAGCCGACCUGAGAGGGUGAUCGGCCACACGGGAACUGAGACACGGUCCAGACUCCUACGGGGGGCAGCAGUAGGGAAUCUUCCGCAAUGGGCGAAAGCCUGACGGAGCAACGCCGCGUGAGUGAUGAAGGUCUUCGGAUCGUAAAACUCUGUUAUUAGGGAGGAACAAAUGUGUAAGUAACUAUGCACGUCUUGACGGUACCUAAUCAGAAAGCCACGGCUAACUACGUG